UUCAGCCAUACCACCUCAGGCUAUGAUCUUGUCAGCUCUCAAUAGCUGAACAGGGUCAGGAUGGGUCAGUACUUGGAUGAGAAACCUCCAGGGAGAAACCCAGGUGUUGCAAGAA
rnacentral:rRNA from 1 species